UUACAAGCUUCCCCAACAAAAGCAGCCCCAAUUACAGGGUCGAAAAUGCUGGCCGUGCAGUAUUCAUCUUGCGGCGGAGGUGUGAAUGAUCUCAAGCAUGUCCAAGUUCCAGUCCCAUCAGCGAAUAAGAACGAGGUUCUCAUAAGAGUAGAAGCGGCAAGUAUCAAUCCAAUCGACUGGAAGACACAAGAUGGGAAGCUAUGGCCUCUUCUACCUCGUACAUUGCCUUUGAUACCAUUGACUGAUAUUGCAGGAGUUGUCGUUGAUGUUGGUCCUGAUGUGCAACAUGUCACGGCUGGAGAUGAAGUGGUGGCCAUGUUGCACCCUUUCCGUGGAGGUGGAUUUGCAGAGUAUGCUGUGGCAUCCGCAAAUUUGACCGUUAAGAGGCCGCCUGAGGUAUCUGCUGCUGAGGGUGCCGGGCUUCCCGUUGCGGCAGCCAGUGCUUUGCAGGCACUGAGGUGUACCGGCGCCAAAUUCGAUGGUAGGAGUAGCCAGCCUCCUUUACACGUCCUCCUUACAGCUGCCUCCGGUGGCGUUGGCCUAUACGCUGUGCAGCUCGCGAAGCUGGCAAACCUCCAUGUUGCCGCUACCUGUGGAGCCCGAAACAUGGAGCUCGUCAAGAGCCUGGGUGCAGAGGAGGUGCUGGACUACAAUACACCAGAGGGGGCAAGCCUCAAGAGCACGUCCGGCAAGAAAUACGACGGCGUUGUCCACUGUACCGUUGGCAUAGGCUGGUCGACGUUCGCGCCAUUGUUGUGCAGCUCCGGCAAAUUAAUUGAUCUCACCCCAAACUUUUCGGCCUAUGCCACCUCUCUCCUGCACUUGGUCACCUUCUCAAGGAAGCGCCUCGUUCCGCUACUUCUGAGACCCAAUAAGGCGGACUUGGAGUUCUUGGUCGGGUUGGUGAAGGCCCGUAAGCUGAAGACCGUUAUUGACUCGAGGUAUCCGUUCAGCGAUGCGGCCAGGGCGUGGCAGACAGCCAUGGCUGGCCAUGCCACCGGCAAGAUCAUCAUUGACAUGGGGACCUGA
rnacentral:rRNA from 1 species